rnacentral:lncRNA from 1 species
UACUUCCGGUUCCUCUCUCUGGUUCCUGAAUGCUGAAGCAAUGCGACUGGCUGCUUCAGGCUCCCCCCGCUGUGAAUUCCACCCAGAUGUACGCCAGGAUGGACUUCUCUCUCCCUUCAAUUGUUUCUGGUUGCAGCAACAAGCGGUGGCAAUCUAGAUGCUGUGAUUUAGGACGAGUGCAACCUCUGGGGUGGUCGGCAAAGAUGUGAGUUCCCAAGGUUAACCUGCUCCUCUGCUACUAAGCUCCAGCAUUCGAUUCUAUUUGUAGAAAGGCUGUAACGCCUCGAGGGGGUGUGUUUACGUUCCGGUAAGAGAGAGCGGGAAGAAAACGAGACCAGGAAGGAUGCUGCCUAAUGUCAUUGGUUCCAUUCUAUCAGAAAAUAAUUGCUGCAAAAGAUGACUCUGCCUCUCCCUCGGGCCUCAGUUUACACUUCAUCGGCCACAACUGAGUGAUAAUGAAAGGCAGCCCGCGCCGUGCAUGAAGCUGCCAUACCAAGGGGGCAAGUGGGGCCCUUCAGAACCGGUAGAGAGAAGGGCAGGUGUUCAGAGUAUUGAAAACAUCCCAUCAGGGGGCAGCGACCUUGGAAACUGUGUCCCAGCUUUCCAGUUUGCCUUAGUUGUCUCCUGCCUAGAAACCCCUGGUGUGAAGACACUGUUGCCAGCUUCCUCUGUCUCCCCUGCUUUCAAAAUGGCUUUUAUCCACUUGGCGGGAGGAUUCCAUGUCACGACAGACUUCACGGCAGCAGCCCAAAUUCCUGCAAGAAGCUACCUGCUGAGCCGCUGAGCUUGUUUUCCUGACAGAUCCUGACAAAGUGAAAAAAAGCGAUCCUGGCAUAGUGGGGGAUGGGUCCCCCCCCCCCAUCCCUCACCCCUUUAAAAAUCAGGCCCUAGAAUUAAAGUUGAGCCUUGAUCAGAGAA